CAAACACUCCCUGCAUUUCUCAACCAGUGAGCACAAGAGCCCCAACCAGGUUUGGCUUCACUCCGGGGAUCUGUGAUCAGUGAGCUGAUCAGAGCAACUCAGAAACAAAGCACUCGUUCUUCAUUCAUCCAAAGGUCUAAGGCAAGCGGAGACAGGAGGCCCGAGAUUCUGCAAUGCUUUCGUAUCCUUGGCAAGAGCAAACUCUUCUCGCCUGGAUGGAGUCAGCUUAUUACAGCCCUUUACCCCUGGAGGGAGCAUCCUCGCGCGGAGUAUAACCCAGCCAUUUCCUAGCACUGAGCUCACCGUCUGCUCCUCAGCCAGAAGCAGCAGGAUUUCGUUCCCUACCGGACACUUUCCUUUCUCUGGCGCAUCAAAAGGCGGGUAAGUGCAUCGGCAGAAGAUGGUCUGAUGCUUUAUGCUUUUUGCAACAGCUUGCAGAGAGCCAGAGCUCUUGAGUCGUCUCUUCCCCCCCCUCCCCACGGCCUCUCAGAGGUCUGAAGCAAUCUUUUAAUCUGGCAUCUAGCUUCACGCUGUAGCUCUGCCGGGGCCUUUUAACAAAGGCGGGGAGCCC